rnacentral:lncRNA from 1 species
UAAGCUUGGCGGCGGGCCUCAUGACUCAGGCGCGAUGGCAACUAGUUCUCACUCCGGCCACCUGUCCUUCUGCCUCUAGUUGACCUCCCGUUGCCUGACACCCGGCUGCCUCGCCUGCAAGUACCCGCACGGGUGCCAGGGCGUGGCCAGGGCGCCGGCCCGCGCCCUGCGAGCCACAUCUCCCACCAACCCACAUGACCGCAAAUCCCCCGCACAUCGGCUCCAGCGGGCACCUCUAACUGGCACGGCGAUACCUAUGUUAUGGCGGCAUGUCUCGCCCCGCACGGCCCUCCCGCCGCUCAUUAAAGUCUUAACGUAGAGGGCGAGGCCGUGGUGGAGGCAGGGGUGUGCCGGGCGAGGGAGGAAUCGGGCGAGAAGUGGUGUGGUCGGGCCGGGGCGACCAAACAUGGCGGUGCGGGGCCGAGCGAGCCUGUGCACUAAGGCGCCGCUCACCAUUAUUGUUGCGCCGCCGCCAUUCCUCCACCCGAGAAUAACGCGAUAACCCCACACCUACAUGUCCGCCACGCCUCUCGCCGCUCCCAUCUGGCCCCGAGGCUAGCUCCCCCAGCAUCUAGGUGACAUAAAAUGCUACAAGACCAGGAGGACGAGGUCUUUGUUAAUGGUCAUUAUCUCAACAAACCAAAAGAAUUACGUUAAAUUUGGUACAGAUAUGCCUUAGCAUCAUGCAGUUUGGUAUGUUGUCAGACUUUGUAGCUUCUUUGGUGGCAGUAAUGCAAAAUUAUUUUUCCCAUAUUAUUUGAAGGAGUCAUUUCAGUCAGCCUCUCAACAAUAUUAAAAUAUUUCACAUUUGGUACACAUGGCCAUGGAAUCAUUCAAUUUAUUGUACUCAUUGUGCUCUUUUUAUAUGCGAGGUGAGAGUGAUUUUGAAACAAACUGUGAGCAGUAAUAUGGGGAGUACAGGAUACAGUACAAGGAAUGCAAUGUAGGAUUAAGUGUGUCGUGUAUCAUGGACCGUGUGAGUGGAGACGGAAAAGUGAAUGUGGUAGUGGAGAGGAAACUGAAUUCUGUAGACAAUUAGUGUGACUGAGAAAAGAUAAAAAGUGGUUAAUCAGUUUCAGUAUCUGGGAUGUGUUAUUAGGAAAAAAAAUUGUGUGGUAGAAGUUGAGAGUUGCACGAGUAAGGGAUUGAAAGCAGCUGGUGCAAUGCAAGCCUUUGUUAGAAAGUCAAAUAGGGAGAAGGCCCGAGGAGUGCUUGAAGGAGUGGUUGUGUUUGUUGUUCUCUUCUGAGGCAAGAUAAUGGGGUGACACAAAUGUGUGAAAUUAUUUAUUGUAAAAAUAUAGAUGGACAGUCUUGAGCAGCAUACAUGGAUACAUGGUGCCAAGAGAAUAUAGUAUGAAUAAAAAUGACGGGGGAAAGAUAUUGUGGAAAUGUCUGUAAAUAUCAGUGUUGAGUAGAAUAGCAAGAGUGGCUAUACUCAAUGAACCGAUGCACUGAAGGAAUUGACUCAUUACGAGCGUACAGUAUUCAGUUAAAUUUGAGGGUACAUGUAGGAGAUGGCAUCCAAAAAGAUUAUUGGGGCAAACAUGCUAAGUGAGAGCAAGUUAGAGGAGAUUGGAUGUAAAAAUUUCACAAGAUAUGGUAAGAGUCAAGGCUGUGUAGUAACAUUUUGUGAAGAGCAAGCAACUGUAUGUUUGAAAGGACAGUACUGUAUAUGACGGCUUGAUGAUACAUUUACUUAACUGUAUGAAGCAGUGAGUGCCGGUGUGGACAAUAUGCUGGAGUGUGGUGGUGCACAUUGUUGUUGUUGUUGUUGAUGUGUGAUGGAUAAGAUAUGGUGAAUAGGUAGGUGUCUCCUUUAAAUGCCUAUUGCUCUCUUUUCCUAUACGGCUUCCAAAUUUCCUUUGGUGUAAUGCCCUUCACUGCUCCCAUGAAAGUGGGAAAUGGUAAUACCACUAAUAAAGGGGAUGCAUUAUUUUUAGUACUAUAU